GACGAACGCUGGCGGCGUGCCUAAUACAUGCAAGUCGAACGCAGUGGGGACGGGUGAGUAACACGUGGGUAACCUCCCAUCAGAGGGGAUAACACUUGGAAACAGGCGCUAAACCGAUAUAGAUGGAUGGACCCGCGGUGCAGUAGCUAGUUGGUGGGGUAACGGCUCACCAAGGCCACGAUGCAUAGCCGGCCUGAGAGGGCUAUCAGCCACACUGGGACUGAGACACGGCCCAGACUCCUACGGGAGGCAGCAGUAGGAAAUCUUGGGCAAUGGACGAAAGUCUGACCGAGCAACGCCGCGUGAGUGAAGAAGGUUUUCGGAUCGUAAAGCUCUGUUGUUAGAGAAGCGGUAUCUAACCAUAAAGCCACGGCUAACUACGUGCCAGCCGCCGCGGUAAUUC
rnacentral:rRNA from 1 species